CAAUAGCGUGUAUUAACGUUGUUGCAGUUAAAAAGCUCGUAGUUGGAUUUCUGGAGGGAGCGUCGGCCCGUAUUUACGAGUGCGUGACGUCUCUGUCCAUCCUUGCGGGAAGGCACGGCAUUGAUUUGUUGUGUCGGAUCGCAUCAUUUACUGUGAAAAAAUUAGAGUGUUCAAAGCAGGCUUUCGCUUGAAUACAUUAGCAUGGAAUAAUAAGAUAGGACUUUGGUGCUAUUUUGUUGGUUGAGCCUAAAGUAAUGAUUAAUAGGGAUAGUUGGGGGCACCUGUAUUGCGUUGUCAGAGGUGAAAUUCUUGGAUUUACGCAAGACAAACAGCUGCGAAANCGNNNGCCAAGGAUGUUUUCAUNAA
rnacentral:rRNA from 1 species